GGGGUCUUGUCGCGCACAUAGUUUCUUAGCCCAUGCUCUGCGUAGCGCCUUCCCUCCUCAUGGUUCUCGAGCACUCCAGCUGCCCUCCCUACCUUGUUAACCCUGACUUCGGGGUUGCCGGUGAUGUUGCGGAAGAGCUGGAAGCCGCAGAUGCCGACGGCCACGCCCAUCGCCGCGAACAGCGGGUACACCUCCGGUCGGACCCAGCGGCUGGAGGCCAUCGUCGGCGUCGGCGGCGGCGGAGAGAGAGAGAGAGGGGAAAG
rnacentral:misc_RNA from 1 species